rnacentral:rRNA from 1 species
AGUGAACGCUGGCGGUAGGCCUAAUACAUGCAAGUCGAACGGCAGCACAGUAAGAGCUUGCUCUUACGGGUGGCGAGUGGCGGACGGGUGAGGAAUACAUCGGAAUCUACUUUUUCGUGGGGGAUAACGUAGAGAAACUUACGCUAAUACCGCAUACGACCUACGGGUGAAAGCAGGGGAUCUUCGGACCUUGCGCGAUUGAAUGAGCCGAUGUCGGAUUAGCUAGUUGGCGGGGUAAAGGCCCACCAAGGCGACGAUCCGUAGCUGGUCUGAGAGGAUGAUCAGCCACACUGGAACUGAGACACGGUCCAGACUCCUACGGGAGGCAGCAGUGGGGAAUAUUGGACAAUGGGCGCAAGCCUGAUCCAGCCAUACCGCGUGGGUGAAGAAGGCCUUCGGGUUGUAAAGCCCUUUUGUUGGGAAAGAAAAGCAGCAGGUUAAUACCCCGCUGUUCUGACGGUACCCAAAGAAUAAGCACCGGCUAACUUCGUG